AACGCGAAGAACCUUACCAGGACUUGACAUACCGUGCAAGACACUAGAGAUAGUGGGAUAGUUAUGGCGGAUACAAGCGGUGCAUGGUUGUCGUCAGCUCGUGUCGUGAGAUGUUGGGUUAAGUCCCGCAACGAGCGCAACCCUUGUCCUUAGUAGCCAUCAUUAAGUUGGGCACUUUAAGGAGACUGCCGAUGUAAAUCGGAGGAAGGUGAGGAUGACGUCAAAUCAUCAUGCCCUUUAUGUCCUGGGCUACACACGUACUACAAUGGACGGUACAAAGAGAUGCAAGCUAGUGAUAGUAAGCCAAGCUCAAAAAACCGUUCUCAGUUCAGAUUGAAGUCUGCAACUCGACUUCAUGAAGACGGAAUCGCUAGUAACCGCGAAUCAGCUACGUCGCGGUGAAUACGUUCCCGGGCCUUGUACACACCGAGUAUA
rnacentral:rRNA from 1 species